AGAGAGCUGUGAGGUAGUGCGUGCUGCUUCUUUCCCCAGAUACCCGUGGGCCUCAGGCCUGCAUCCAGUGAGCUGGACCAAGAGCAGCCAGGUUGCAAUUCCUGCUGCCAUGGCAGGAUUCUGCAGGAACAUUUCCCUUUGACAACAAGGAACCUGUGUGGAGGAGACCUCUUGGUGAGUCCUCAAGGACUCUAUGUGUCCUAUUCUACAGGGAGAAGCCCUGCCAGGUCUUUGGCAAGGCCAGCUAGUUGUAUGGGGAAGUCUCUGGUCCUGUGGCAGAGGGCGAAGAAUGGCAGAAAGAAUGGCAGCUCCACUGAGAGCAAAGGCUACCCCUUCUAGGCCUGUGACCUCCUAAUUAAUUCAUCUUUUCACCUGAUGCCCUAUUCACAUUUUCGUACUAUCAUACAACUGUGAUCAUGAUGAGCAGCUGGGCUCUUGUUUUCUUAAUCAGUUCUUUGUUGUCACAGACGUUUUUAACUUACUUCAGCCCAUGAGACUUAUUCAUACCUUCUGUAUGCAGUAGGACCCUUGGUUGGCCUGUCAUCUCAAAAAUAGAAGGUUCGGUAAUCCAAAAGAUUGGACUCCAGUUUACCUCAGGCCAGGAAAGAAGUCAGCCACCAUUAGUAAAAGAGCAAGGGAAAAAUUACAUAGGAAAAUCAAGUGGCUUAAUCAGAAGAAAAGAUCCUCAACUUCUAAGGCCCGCACAUCUGCACCCCUCUCUUCUGAGCUUUGUAUAGUGAUGUUGUAUAACUCCAGAUGGUAGUAAAAGGCAGAGUUCUUCCAAGAAAGGUCAGACAUGAUUUUCACUCUUACAUCUCGGAGGUGGGGUGGCAUUAUAGCACACAUUCAUGUUGAAUUAUUAUAACACCUAUGAUAAGAAGACAGAAUCCAUAUAUCACAAUGCCAAAUAUACUCCCUCCUGAACUUAUGGACCCAUUAAAAUUGAGGUUCAACCUGAACUCCGGCCAUUCCACUCCCUUCCCAUCCUCCUGAUUCUUAUGUUUGCUACAAGUAAAAGAUCAUGGUGUAGUCCCCAAUAUUCUCAUGCCUAGACUUGUCUAUUCACGGAGAAUGAUAUUGGAGAAGUGAUGGCUAUAUAGUUACAAUGUAGUAACACAAGGUCCUGGUUGACAUUUGCUCACUGAUGUCCAAUUUAAUUGUCUUGUAAUAUUUGAGAAAGGGUGAUGUCCUACAUAAUAUAUAAAACAGACAGAAAUUUAUUAUUUCAUAUAUGCCCUGUAGUUGAUCCCUAUGUUCCCAAGUAAAAGGAGUUUUUAUUGCAGAAAAAUAGGAUUAUAGACCAUUGAUUUUGUGAAAUACAUGGAUAUAUAAAUGGAAACAAUGUCGGCUUUCAAGGACUGCACAGUAAGCAAAUAUUUCCAGGUUUUAUACACUCAGAGGUAUAGAAGAAAUAUAUUGGCCUCCAGAAAAAGGGAAAAGCUCAGGAAUCGAAAUGUGUGUCACAUGCAUUGUCUCGAGAAGUAGAUUUACUUUUAAGAAAAAUCUCCCUCCUCCUUGGUCCCUAGAGAUUUGGGUGCUAAGAAAAAUCUGUUCUCCAAUUCAGGGUUGUAACAACCCUCCCCAGCAAAAGCAUUGUUGACUUCUAAUGAAGCAGAGAGACAUAUCUAGCUUUGAAAUAGAGGUUGCCAAAUGGUAUUCCCAGUGACACAUGGGAGACUGGAGGAAAGGGUCCCCACAUAAAUUCAUCAGUGUGGGGAGAGCUGGUUAGUAGGUAGGCCAUAGAAUUUUCCAGUGACAUCACCAGUAAGCCGUUCACUGGACACUCUAUUGUAUCUAAGAGAUCCCUAGAAUCUUCUGUGAUGUCACCAGUGUUGUGGUGACACCAACUGCCUUUGGGAUAUUACUUCAGUUCCCUUUGGGUUCACAAGCAGGCAUGUUUCGCCAGCUGCUCAGGCUAUUUCGGAAGGAAAGUGUUGAUCAAGGAGAGACCGCACCAGGUCAGAGAGAAGCUGACCCCCUCUCUAGUGACACAGGAAGGAGGAAAUCAUUCUGGGGAAGUCUUGGUUUUGGUAGGAAGGCAUCAUCCUAAAAUGUCAUCAGUAAGCAAGAGGAAUGUCUAAAGGAACUGGAGGAAUUCAAAUUUGAAAUCCAGAAGUGUCAAUUCGAGAGGGAUGAACUUUAUCAAAUCCUGGAUCUUUAUAUCUAUGAUGAGUGGGACCACAGGCUGCAUGUCGAAUUGCCAGUCCUUGAAUCUGAACAUGAGAUGAGAAUGAUGGCUAUGCAAAUGAUGACCAACUCAAUAAGUGAUGCCAUGGAGAGGUACAAGGAGCUCAUACAAGUGAACAGUUCCUACCGCAUCAGGCAAUCCCAGCUCCUGCGUGAACAAGCUCAAUUGAAGAACAAUAUACAGAUUUUGCUGAAUGAGAAGAGAGAAAUGCUGGUGGAGCAGACUGAACUGCCAGCAUCCUCUGUGGAGGCAAAGAGGCUCUGUGAAGAGGCCGGAAUGAACAUCUGUGACCCCAGAGCCAAGCAACAGCAGGUAGGGUUAUGGCUCAAGGUCAGGUUGUCCUCAGGUCUUACCUUAACCAUAGACAAAACAAUGUAACUGUCUAUUGACUGAUCCAUGUCCUGUCCUAGGUCUCAUCCAAGUGUUCAUUCAUGUGAUGGUUUAUAAGGCUUUCUGUGGAGAUAGCCCCUUUUCAAGAAACUGCAUGUUUGGAAAGCAAAUGCUCCUGCUCUUUGAGAAUCUGCAGUUUAUUAAGGGAGAUAGGUUGAUCACACAGCACAGCACCACAUGCCAUUAUGUAUGGAGGGUGCUAUGUGCGAGCCUCUCUUUAGACUAGAACAGGGCUUUGAGGGAUGAAGCAAAAGCCCGGAGCUCAUUUUCUUUACAGGGAUCGUGUGAGAAUCAAGAAGUAAGUAGUUUUCAAAGAGGAGAGCCUGCUGGAAAUGCCAAAGAAAUGGUUCUCAUUGUCAUUUGUGGUGGCUUUUGUUCUUCCUCCCCUCAUGUCCCUGUAUAUGAAGAUGGUGACUUCAUGCUUCAUAGAUCUUGGGUAACUAUAGAGCCUGUGUAUCAGCAUGUCAGUCCUGUCUUAUUUGAGUGCUCCUGGAGAGUUCAUAACUAGGCCUUACAACCUGAAGCUGGUUAGAAGAGCAAGGAUGUGGAAAAGGUUUCUCAAAGGCUGAGGGGUUGGCAUGAGAGACUUGAGACUUCAAGAACAAACUUAUCUGUAUGUACCCCAAUUCUCACCAAGAAAGGUGCAUUGCUGUGCUGACCUGCAUCUUAGGGAGCAUGUGGGGAGGCCAGUUCAUGACAUGCAGUUUUGUUCCGUCAUUAUCUAACUUCGUUCUUUAAGCCUAGGUCUCUCAACAAACAUGAAGCUUCCUGUUUUGUGCUGGCCAGCAGUCUUUGCAUCAUUCGUCCAGUUCCAAGUGGAGCCCCCUCUCUUAUUUGUCUCAACACAUUCUUAAACCAUCCAGCUAUUUGAAAAAUAAGGAUUAGAUUUCUUCACUUUACCUGAACAGAGUUAUCCCCCGAGAAGAUUCUGGAUUGUCUCAUUGGCUUCACCAUGAUCUUGCAUGGAAUCCUAGAGUACAACCCUCUGCUGACAUUGCUUUGCUGACUAUAUCAUGGGCACUGCAUUCUUUCAGGAUAGAUUCCCUCUCAAUAAUGUACACAGUGCUGCAUUUCAGACAAUUCACUGUAUGUUAUUUAUUUAGCCUUUUUCUGACUGACAUUGAGGUUGUUUUAAUAUCACAGGAACUCUAAUUUGAUGAAAUGUUCCUGGGAACUGACCAUGAGUUACUGUCUUCUCUGAUGCUUCCAAAGUCUUCUAUGAAGGAAACAGGGUAGUUUUAGUGAGGGGCCUAUGAUGAGUCAGCAUAGAGCUUGAUGGAGUCUUUUCCUAGAAAUCUCUCUCUUGGGGAUUUGAUGUUGUGUUGUUUAGGCUAUCUGUGCAGAACAUGUAACUUACUUGUCGGACCAGCAAGUAUCUGCAUAGAAAGGUUUCCUGAAGUGGAAAUGAGUACAGUCCAGGACAGCACAGCCUGCUUGAGUCUAAGAGACUUGUACACAGCAUUUUUCCCACUAAUUCCUCACUCAAGAGAAAAUUUACUGCAUAACAGCAAAGUUUUCAUUUGUGCAUGCGAGUGUGUAUCUGUGUGUCUGUGUUUGUGUGUGUGUGUGUGUGUGUUUGCAGUAGUGAACGUGUGUUUCCCUCUAUUUCCAAGUUUCAUGAGAAAAGUACUCUAAGCGUUCACUUUACAUCCAUGAAACAUGAAAUAGAGCUGCCCAGUCAUUUGGCAUCUCCAUCUAGCUCUGUACAGCAAAAGGACACUUAAAUUACUAAUUUAUUCUGUUUCCAAAAAUUUCAGAACAGAAUUAUCUUGUGAAGUCUGGGGGAGGAGUGGAAAUAUGUUCAAGUGAGUCGUGUUUCACAGGGGUAACAAAUGGUACAGGCCUAGAGCUUGCAGGACCCUUUUUGUUAUGGUGCAGAAGCAGGACAAUAAUAUCCUUUAGAAAUGCAACCCCCAAAGAGAGGACACAAAAACACCUGUAAAGUUAGAUUUUCAAGUGAUUAGGGGCAAAACUACUGAUCUGCAUUGAAAUCCUUUGGAGCACAUCAAAGGAAUGGAGUACUGGGAGGUAAGGGCAAGGCUUCUCUAGAAAAAUCCAUGAGUUUAUUCUGCUUCUCUGUUCUUUGUGAAUUGUGAAAGCCCACUGGAAGGUUGUGUCACUCACUGUGUCUUCUCCAAGGUUGCUUUCCACAUUGCCUGCUACCAUUUCUUUCGAGCUACCUUGGCACACUACAACUUCCCCUGGGAGUUUGGCUUGGAUUUUAUUCAUUGAGAAUUUGAGUUGCUUGGAAUUGUAUCGUCAUCCAGAAAAAGUCCCAUAGCUAUGCUGUGGUGCAAGAACAGGGCAGUUUCAGGAGCCCCUUUAGGUGCACAGAUAAUCCAAAGCGCUCCCCUAUGUUAUCUGUGUAGCAUUCUGCAAGUGCUGUCAAUCAACAUCAUUUUCUCUCAGUUAAUUUCAGCCUCAAUGGGUUAGGAGAAAUGAUGAGCUUCAAAUGGGUCUGACAGUGUAAGAACAGGUAGCCCUAUGAGAAGCCAUGUUCAGAAAGUGGAAGAGAAGUUUUAGUUAACCCAGUGAUUCCACAACAAGGAGUAGGUAUUGCCAUUGCAACUAGGGAGCAUCAAUGUUGUAGUGGUCCCAGAGUAACCUUGAAGGAGAAUCUAUCCAGACGUCCAUCAGCCAAGGAGUAAAAGUGUACCAUACGAUGGAGGCCUUCCAUAGAUUCUGAUUCAGUGUGAGAUAAUCCAUGCAAGCUUUUACUUACUUAUUAAAAUUAUCUGUGGAACAAUCACAUUACGGGGAGAAAAUUUGUUGAUUUGGAUCCUGGUUAUGGAGAUUUCCUAUGAUUCUACCUUUGGGCAUGAAGUCACUCAGGCUAUGGUAAAGACAGCUCCGAUUAGAAGAAGUUGCACACUUUGGGGAAAGUCUGAAAGAGUGAACAAGAACAAGAGUCUAGUCCACCACCAACAUAUGAUCCUUUGCUGAGCAACAAGACAGCUCUACACAGCCUUUGGGACUUGCUAAACCAGAUUGUUAAUGGGGAAAGAACCCUGAGUCUAUGACGGUUUAUGGGAGGACAGCACAUCACUGACUGAGCUGUCUAUAGGCUCUGGCCACUAUGUACAUAUCCCACUCAACAUUUGUUUUUAUGCCUCCAGCGAAUCCUGGGGAAUCUUUACAUUAAGCAUUAAUGUUCAGGUAGGAACGUAGGCUGGAAGAAGCCAUUUGAAUAUCCUUCCCUAUAUAAAUACCCUUCUUGGGUGGAUGACCACCCACCUGGAUUUCAGCCUCAGGCAGUUAAAGAGCUACUCAGAGUAUUGUUCUGGUACAGUUCAUGUGAAUUUUGCCCAUGAAACAAUAUAUAUGAUCCUCUGGAUUUCUUACUAUGUUCUACUCCUUUCUUCCUGUGAUCUCUCCGGAAAGAUCUGAGGACAUUUUCUCUUCUGUCCUCUCACAAAUUGCCUUACACUAGCCAUAGACUUACAGGGGUGCUGUUCUGUUUCUACAUCACAAUCACCUUUAAUGUCCAUGUGUAGGCUGGGAAGAUUUGCAUGGAGCACAUUCUCAGUGAUUACAAGAUAUGUGCGGUGAGCAUGAAUGUGAAGUGAGAUGGCUUCUCUGUGUAUUUGCAGAUACAGUGGUUACAAAUGGAAACUAGACGGGUUCCUUCAGUGCUAACAUAAUCAGAAAUUUCACCUCAAUUUUUGGCAUGUUCUCCAGAAGGAAUCCACAUGGUAUUCUAGGUUGCUCAUACCUCUCUUGAACUCAGAUUCAGACAUAGCUACAAUGUUAUUAUUCAAUGUCAUAUUCCUGGACCAGGGUGAAAAAAUGCUCAUUUUUCUCUUAAUCCCAGUACAGUGCAUAGUCCACAGUUCAAAUUCUAGCAGUUUGAAAGGUGAGAUAUAAAUCCAAGCGCAGGUACUCUAGGACACUUGGGGAUGCAGGGACUGACCUAAGCUGACAGGUCAUGCUGGAUUAUCCAACUGAAUAGAGCUGAUGUAAGGGGGAGAGCUGAAUUGACAACCACUCACUAAACCUUUUUUCCCUUGCUCUGCUAGGUCUGAAAUUCUCCAGCAGAAACUCAAACAUGACACAGUCAAGACAAGAUCUCCCUUGGAGAGAAGUGCUACAGGAGGAGAACUAAGUGUGCACAGCAAAUGCACCACUAUUGCAUCUCAUCUGUAGUGUCCAUAGCAAUUGUGGACUGCAUUUUCCUCCUUUAGUUUGAUUUCUUUGGAUUGAAUACGCUGUAUUUACACCUUGCCUCUCUCCAGCAAGUGUACACUUUUUGAGGGACUCAGAGAAGUGCUGAUGCACAUCAAUCAAGAGCUGCUGGUCAUCCAGAAAGACUGUGCACGUGUAAAUUUGUACUUGUCCUGAUGGGUCAUCCAGAAGAGUUUCAUGGAGAUCAGUUCACAAUAUUGGAAAGACUUUGUGACAAAGUCUGUAAUAUCAUUUCUACUCAGUAUUGGAUGGCUUUUUCCUUAAUACCCCCACUCCAACAAAACAGACCUACUUCCACUCCUCUUGAAAAGAUUAUUACCACCAGUAACUGCUUUUCUACUAUGUCUCCAAGGCAAGCCACAGGCUAUAAGUCUAUUCUGCAAAAGGAGCAGCAAAAAAUGCUUAGUGCAAUUCCUCUAUUUAAAGUUUGGUAAAUUUUUAAUUGUUUUGGUUAUUUGGUUUUCCUUCUAUUUAUUUGAAGAUUUGUUAUUAAUCUGUUGUUAUUGUUUUGUUCAUUUGCUUUUCUAUUUUGAUAAGGAUGUAGACUGUAUAUAUUGACUACCUGCAUGUGGUUACUAUCAAGUAAAUUGGAUGUAUUCUGGUCAAUAAAGGACUAAUCUCAAACUCUUCACUCUUAAGAACCUUCUUUAUUGAUCAUUAGUGUCAACAUCUGAAGUCCCACAGCUAUCAGGGAGGGAUGGAUCUCUGCAUUCUCAUGGGGACUGGGCAUCAAAUCACUUCCCAGUCAGACUGAGAUUCACAGGCAUUUAUACAGUCACUGUGCACUGUGUUUCCAACUCUGAAUUUCAGCUUCAUCAUGCAUACAUUACCCACUGUGUAUGCUUGCUGUCAAAUAUAUAGUUACCUCUAAAUUAUACUCUGUCGAUGACAGUUUUGACCAAAUUAAUAGGAUAAACAUUAAUUUUUCUGUAAUAUCUCCCAGGACAUAUAAACAUGGUAUAAGGGAGUUUAAAGCCAUCGGGAAACCUGCACCCAAAUCGCGGGGCAGAAAAUGCUGAACACCCAGGAAUGCAGAUAAUCCUGAAACCACAGGAAAGAAAGCCACUUCUGACCAGCUCUGCCCACAUCUCUGGCCAAAUAUUAAUCUGCAUGAUGCCUCUGCAAACAGGAAUAGAGGAGCAGUCAGUGGCAGGAACCUGCUUGGUUCACCCUGGGCCCAGAACCUACCUGGCCCCUGAGCAUAUUUGAAGAAAACCA